rnacentral:lncRNA from 1 species
ACAUUGAUGGAUAGCCACGUGGAUCCAGAAAAUAAAGACUUCUACUCUGCAUUUGACUAAAGCAGAAGAUAUGCAAGGAAGCUCAGUCUCUCAAUUGAGUGGAUUCUGAAAUUUAUCCUGUUGUCUUCAGCUACUAAGGCUAAUUUGCAAAUCACACUGUGCACGGACGGCGUCUCGCUGUGUUACCCAGGCUGGAGUGCAGUGGCGCGAUCUCAGCUCACUGCAACCUCACCUCCCGGGUUCAAGUGAUUCCUCUGCCUCAGCCUCCGGAGUAGCUGGGACUACAGGUGCGUGCCACCAUGCCUGGCUCAUUUUUUUUGUAUUUUAGUAGAGACGGGGUUUCACCAUGUUGGCCAGGAUGGCCUCGAUUUCCUGACCUUGUGAUCCGCCCGCCUCGGCCUUCCAAAGCGCUGGGAUUACAGUCAUGAGCCACCGUGCCCGGCC